rnacentral:rRNA from 1 species
CCUACGGGAGGCAGCAGUGAGGAAUAUUGGUCAAUGGACGAGAGUCUGAACCAGCCAAGUAGCGUGAAGGAUGACUGCCCUAUGGGUUGUAAACUUCUUUUAUAAAGGAAUAAAACGAGGCACGUGUGCCUUUUUGCAUGUACUUUAUGAAUAAGGAUCGGCUAACUCCGUGCCAGCAGCCGCGGUAAUACGGAGGAUCCGAGCGUUAUCCGGAUUUAUUGGGUUUAAAGGGAGCGUAGAUGGGUUGUUAAGUCAGUUGUGAAAGUUUGCGGCUCAACCGUAAAAUUGCAAUUGAUACUGGCAGUCGUGAGUACAGUUGAGGUAGGCGGAAUUCGUGGUGUAGCGGUGAAAUGCUGAGAGAUCACGAAGAACCCCGAUUGCGAAGGCAGCUUACUAAACUGUGACUGACAUUGAUGCUCGAAAGUGUGGGUAUCAAACAGGAUUAGAUACCCCUGUAGUC